UACGUAGGGGGCAAGCGUUGUCCGGAUUUACUGGGCGUAAAGAGCGUGUAGGCGGCCACGCAGGUCCGUUGUGAAAACUGGAGGCUCAACCUUCAGACGUCGACGGAAACCGUAUGGCUAGAGUCCGGAAGAGGAGAGUGGAAUCCUGGUGUAGCGGUGAAAUGCGCAGAUAUCAGGAAGAACACCAAUGGCGAAGGCAGCUCUCUGGGACGGUACUGACGCUGAGACGCGAAAGCGUGGGAGCAAACAGG
rnacentral:rRNA from 1 species